rnacentral:rRNA from 1 species
UUAAAUUGAAGAGUUUGAUCAUGGCUCAGAUUGAACGCUGGCGGCAGGCCUAACACAUGCAAGUCGAACGGUAACAGGAAGCAGCUUGCUGUUUCGCUGACGAGUGGCGGACGGGUGAGUAAUGUCUGGGAAACUGCCUGAUGGAGGGGGAUAACUACUGGAAACGGUAGCUAAUACCGCAUAACGUCGCAAGACCAAAGAGGGGGACCUUCGGGCCUC